GAGAGGUGAAGGUUUUCUUUGUGACAAAUUGGAUGCUAGCUGUCCCUUCCAGCAAUGGAGAGAUAACAAGUCCUAAUAAAACCACUUCUCAACUUCACAGGAACAGAUUGCUGCUGCUUCCCCUACAAAAUACUUUCUUUAGCUGAUACCCUGCCCUGUCAGCAGGAGUUUUGGGAAUUGGUGGCCUCUAAGCAGAACCACCUUUGCAUCUUUUGUGAUACAGUAACACCAAACUGUUCAGAACUGCAUGCUUUCUCAUGUAAUAGGAAACUUAUUUUUUUCUCCUGUCUGGCUCCAGGCAACCAAAAUGCUUCAAUAUUUGGAAGAUAAAUGCAUUCAGAGCCAGGAGAGGCCGCCGGAGCCACAGGCUACACUGCUUCCUGCUUACUGAAAACCUGAAUGAGGAGAGAUGCUAUUGCUCCAAACUACAACUUAGAGCUUGUUAGAACAGGGAAAGCUGCCCUGUGUGGCCCCCUGCAGGGGCAAGGGGCAGGCUGGCUUAGGUGAAUGAGGCUGUAUCAGCUUCUGGGUUCACCCCAUGUCCUGUCCCAUAGGAUGAGGGAUCUUCUGUGGCUCCAGCAGCAUCAGUCACCUGCUCUUGUUCUGUCUAAGCUCCCCUAUGUCUUGGAAUGGGUCUGCCCCUUGGGAAGGAGUUUUUCAUCAGUUCCCAGGGUUUCUGCGAACGCUGCGUAAGCCUGCAUGGAAAACAUCGUGGGAUGCUCUGCUCAGGGCAUCCAGGAGGUCCAGCAGAAAAUGGUGUGGGAGGUCUGGUUGAGAUGGGUCGCCAGUGAUACGGUUGGGUUAUGUCUCACCUUUCUGUUUCAACGAUGCCUUUCCUUCCUGUUUCUGGAUGAACAUGGAGUGGCACAGGCAGAGUGCUGUGCUCAAAUGAAUCUUUGCAAAGGUAAGGGCUGGUAUAAAGGGAGGAGAGCUGCUGGAGAGCUGGAAGUCAGGAAAAUAGCUCCAGAAGCUUUGCUGUUAAUACCCAGACCUCAACACCAAGCCCACAAAAAGCAAACCUGGGCAUUUGUGAGGUAAGUACAAAAUACUGACAGCAGGAAGCCCUUCAAGUUGUUCUGGAUGCAGCUUUGCUAUUGAGGCUAUGUUUCCCUAACUGACUGUGGGGGUUAUACAAUCCUUUGGCAGGACUUCGUAGGCAGUGCUUGGAGACACAAGGGCAUUUCUUGAUCGAAAUAUGAAGGGACUUUCAGGAACAUUGACGUGAAGCUUCAAAAUCCAGGCAACAGAGCCUUUUUGCAGUGGAUACAGGACUUGUGGCCUCAUCAAAGCCAGAAGCAAGAAGUGUUUUAGGAGCAGGCCACUUACACAGCUCCUGUGGUCAUCCCAUCUCAUAAUUAAAUGAGACAAAGCUUGCAAGACUUCACAGGUAGAAGUUUGCAGCCAGGGGCAAGCUGCUGCCUCCUCAUGCUGCAUGCCAGCUUUCUGCUCUCUCUCAUCUAUCAAAGUAAUUAUGCCCGUUACGUUUCUCCUUCCAGGUUUUACCCUCCCAAAUGUUAUUCUUCUGCAUUAAACCUGCGGGGGAAGUGAAUUAUUGGGGGAAGUAACCAGGUUUAAUCCAGGUUUAAUAGGCACACAACAAAAGCACGCUGGGCUGGGAGGGUGGCCCAGCCAGCAUCCUGCUUCUGCAGGCAAACAGAAAUUUGUCAUGAUGUGUGUAUGUAUCCAGCUUUGUGAUCUGUGAGCUCUUAAUAAUUGGUUUGGUGACCUGCCACCAGUGUGCUCUCUCUGUAGAGCUUUCUCCGGUCCCUGGUUAAUACAACGGGUCACAAAUCCCAUUUGCUUUUGAAUUCUGAGUAAUCCUUUCGUUAAUGUUGCCUAGUGCUUUUUUGGAAGCAUUGAAGGAAAUUGGAGCCCUGUGCUAAUCAGUAACUCUGGCUCUGCAUGCUUGCGAGCUGUUGCCCUGGCUGGCUUUUCCAAAUGACCGGUGCAGCCUGUUUAUGUCAAACACCAACGUGUGCCUCUACAAAGCAGCAAUUGCCUCUGAGCCGUGGUAUUACCCAGGGCACGGGCUGGGAAUGUUGGCUGAGCUUUAGGAGAGCAGUGAGGUGUGAUGGGGUGACCGCCGGUGCCGUGUUCCUACUGUGGUGGUUGCCCACAGAUUGAACUGAACUUUAAUGGUGUCUUCAACACCUACAGCGUCUGAGUUACGAAGGCUGUGGCUGUUCUGCCUGUCAGCUCCAUCCCAGCAGCAAUUCGUGGCUGGAGUCACAAACUCUGCACUGAUACAGAGAGAGUUCAUCGUGGGCAGAGGGAUGCUGAGCAACUCAAUGGGGAUUGGGAUGCAAGCGGCGUGGAUGCAAUGCCUCUGCCUGCAGCCUCGUAUCAUCAGCUGACAAAGCCCUGCAGUCAUGCUGCUGUGAGCAGAGAUGCCCGAUCCUCUAAGGAGAUGCAGGCUUCAGCACCAAACCUCUGCCCUGUCCUGAUGGGCUCUCGUGGAGCACAGACCUUCGUGUUGGAGAGCUUUUAUGCCAAGGACUGAGGAUUGGUUGCUUCUCUCAUCCGUUUCUGUGGCUGGAGGUGCCUUGUGAACUGUACUGCUGAGACAAACAGGUGCCCAGAACUGCUCAGGACCGCCUAUGAAACCUGCUGCUGGGAUUCUCUCUUGCUGCUAAUGGAGAAGGUGACAUGCUGCUGAUUAAAGUGAGGACCAAGGCUGUGAAUGUUGAAACUGACAGCUCCCGGUCUCAGAGCUGGCUGUAGAAGCUGAAUCCUGCUUCCUCCAUACCACUGCAUCCUGGCUUGGCUGGAUGGGGCGAGGGCAGGGAUUUGCCCCUAAGCACCACAUUGGAGAACCCUCCCUGGAAGGAUGUGAGGUGAGAGGAGGGGCUUCCUCAUCUCCAUCCUCAUUCAUAUUACCCUUCCCAUCCUUCUCCUACCUCCGUCACCAUCCAUAACCCCAUCCCCUUCCCCAUCCAUAACCUUACCUCCCUCCCUAUCCUUAGCUUUAUUCCCAUCCAUAACUCCAUCUUCUUCCUCAUCCUCAUUUCUACCCAUAACCCCAUUCCUAUUCCCAACUCCAUCUCUACCUAUACCCCCACUCAUAUCCCCAUCUCUGUUCUCAUUCUCAUCCUUAUCCAUAACCCCACCUUAUCCCCAUCCCUUUCAGUUCUCUUUGUGCAGGAUUCUGAUGAAGGGAGGAGGAGGAGAGGCUGAGCAGCAGGCAGCUGCCUGCUCCACUGCCAUUAGCAAUGCACUCUGCUUUCUCCCCCCAUUUAGGCCAUUACUCCAGGCUCACAGGGCUGUGGUUGGCAAUGCGGGCGCCGGGCCCCACAGGGAUGCCGGCCCUGCAGUCAGCCCUCACGUCUUCCUCCGCUCUUAAGCGGCGGUAAAAGAAACCACCCCCUUGUGCCUGGAGAGCAGAGCCGUGUUAAGCCGGCUUGUUUAAAAGCACUGCAGCUUUCUUUUGGCACUGUGACAAGUGGGGACGAUGGCAAAAGGUCUCUUUUCUCGCUGCCCCGUCACUUCUUAUUGUGUGAUGCCAACAGGGCAGCGCAUCAGUGCAGCCCUCCCCGUGCACCCACAGCUCCUCCAGGUCAAUCAUAUGCACAAGACCCUGGUGAUGACAUCCUGCUGCCGAGUGCCACCUCUCCACGUCCCCAGCUCCGCUGCUGUCCCCUGGUGCUGUCUCACGUUUGGCACCUGUGCUCCCCACUUCCUCCACCCGCGCUCGCUCCUCACCCUCGCACGCCCCCGCGGGAUGAUGCACUGCGUGGAGGAGCAGCAUUAGUCACUGUUCUGUAGGAAGAAGGCUGCAAGCAGAAGAGGAGGAGGAGGAGCGCAGCCACAGUGCGGAGCCAACGACCAUCCCUCUGCAUGUGGUAGGGGCUGAAAUGAUGGCAGUGGGCUCAGGCAGUGUUCUCGGGCUGGGCAUGUGGGAAAAUCCAACUAGAAGGACCCAGAGAGGGGGAAACGGUGUGGGUGCACAGGAAGCAGAGCUGCUGAAAUGCUUCCCCUGGGAUGGAGCUGUGAACUUUCUGAGCAUCCUUUUUUCAGUAGAUGGAGCCUGGCGGGGAGAGUGAGGCUGGAGGAGAUGGGCUGCCCACGAGGCAGUGAGAUGCAUCUGGGGGCUGGGGAGAGGCCUCCCUAGAGGUGUUCCCUGGGGAUGUCCCCAGAGCCAUUCUCUGCCUGGCUCAGGACCACUGCACACUCCUGGUUGAGAAACACGAAGCUCAGCCCUGAGAUGAGUGCUGCUUAACAGCCACUUCCCUAUUUGCAGCUUUGAAGUUCUGCAGAUUGUGUUGGCAGCAGACUGGAGGAGAGAUCAACCACAGAACACCAUCUCCUUCCUUGCAAAUAAGCCUCAGUCCAGCCAGCAACAAAACAGCAGCUGCCCUAUUUCCAGGGCUGGUGGGAGUGCAAAGCCUUCUCCUUGUAUUCAUCAGCUGCUGGUUCUGCUGUAGCCUCCAACCGCAUGUAAGUCAGGACUGUGCCAUGAGAAUGGAUGGGAGGGAUGCCCAGGGAGCAUCCUUGCACCAUGAGCUGCUGCCAGGAUCUGCUCUGUGUUCUCAUGUCACACGUGUCCAUGCAUCUGCAUUUAAGCCUGUUCUUGACUUGCCCAGUACACACAGGGACACUGUGUGUGCUUCUUGCUUAUAUGUAUGUUACCUUUUUAUUGUAUCCAGACCCUCUUCCAUUGCCUAUAUCAUCAGGUUGCUGAUUGCUUUCCCCAUGGUGGGCUGGACUGUGAAGACCAUUGGGCUGCCAGUGUACCUGUCGACCCUGGGACACCAAUGCAGUGGUAGAGAGCUAAUGAAUCACAACAUCACUUACGCAUUAACUUCUUUGAAAUGCAAAGCACUCCCCUGGUAUUUCAGUCUUUUCCAUCCAGUCCAAAGCAAAACCCCAUAGAUAGAGAACAGUGGGGAGCUGCACAAGGUAACACUUCCACUUUGUGUCUGGUACAAUGAUUGCAUCAGCAUUCAUUACAAUGGAACUUGCUGCCCUUUAAAGCAGUUCGGCACAUGCUGUAUCCUCAGCUUUCCUGCUUCCGACUGGCUCUGCGCUGAACUGCUUCCUUGCAUGCAUUCAAAGCAGUUUGUAAUUAACAAUCACAUUGUUUUCCUUUGAACAUCAACAGAGAUAUAGAAAACAGAGAUUGAGAGCUGAGAUGUUGGUACGACCGGGUAUUAUUUUGCUUUCAUGAAAUGACUUUUCCUAUUUUGCUGCAAAUUUGGUGCUGAUGAAAAGCUGGGGCAGCGUGCAGGCAGCCACAAGGCUUCACUCACCAGCUCAUGGACAAAGUUCUCUCCUCUCACUAUGGGGAAGCAGGAAAUUUGGGCUUGGAUGCCCUUUUACCUUUGCCCUUGCAGAACACAUUCUGGACACCAUUGCUGCCUUCACAAAAUAGCGCUCAGCAGAAAAGCCUGCAGAGAAGGACGAGGAAAACCAAGAGUAUGUGGGCUCCUGAGCUACCCAGCAUGUUGGAGCAGAGGGGCUGUGUUUGAAGCCUUGGCUCUGUGAACAAGAAGCAGAUUACAAACUUCUUCAGUUCUGGUGCAGAGCUUGGAUGGGAGGAUUGCUCCCUCCAUCUGUUCUUCGCAUAGGCAAUCUGCCUUUGAAAGCCAUCGCUGCUUAAGUAUGGAGGAAGCGUAAAUGCAGAAGCACCUGAAUAUUGUUUAACAGAUGGGGGCACACAUUUUUCAGGCAGAGAUUUCCUUUCCAUUGCCCCACUUAUUUUAGAGGUGUUUUUCAGGACCAUCCUUCCAAUGCCUGGGAAUAGGAUCCCAGCCUGCGGUUUGUGGCGAUGGCAGUUAAUUUCCAGCAGCUAACUUUGCUGUGAAAACUCUUGUGACAUUUGUGAAAUUUGCUUUCAUCUCCUUCCCUUCCAACUGAGCUCACAUUUUUCAUCAAAGCCUUCCAGGAGGAUCACACUCCAUGCCACACGCUCCACCCUGGCAACGAAGUGGCUGGAGUUCAUCCGUGCCAUUCUGAAACACUCAAGCAAGCCUGAUGAAGCACACAGCCAGGCUGCAGCCUGUGAAUGCCUCUGCCCACAUGCACAUCUUCCCUCCCUGCAGGAGCUGCCCUUCUGUUGAUGAUGCUCGCUUGUUCUUGCCCCUUCUGCAUUAAUACAUACAGCACAGUGGCUUUCAGCUUCAUCAACCCAAGGACCACUACAAAUCUUCCAAUGGGAACGCUGUCGUAGACUGCUGAGUGGCAGAAAGGAAAUUGCUUUUCUUUGCAACUUUUUUGAUGAUUCCUUGCAAACAGAUGGUGGACCCCAUGCCUCAGGGAGCGCACAUUGAAGCCACCACCUCACUGAGUUGGUGAAACCAACAGAAAUUGUGUCAUAUGGACCCCCAUAAGGCCCAUCUACUGGGAGAAGUCACAGCUGGAGAAGAGGAGGAAGAAAGAAGUAAAAAUAUAGGCAGAGAGGAUGGACCUCAAAUUUCUCAGUUUACAUCUCACUUCCCCUUCCCAUUCUUUAGUCAUCAUAUUCUUUCUGGGAGAAAGUGGCUGUUGGAAAACAGAGAGAGAAGACGACAAACACUGCUGUGGAAUUAUUUAACGAGCCAGAAUGAAUUGCAUUUGAAAUCAUUUAAAUGGGAUCUGGGAGUAUUUAACUGCAGCACAGGAACUUAACAAGAGUGGGAAAGGAUUUUGUGCUAAUUGCUGGCAAUGAUAUACCUACGGAGAGAGAACAUGCAGCAAUUAGUAAGCAAGGCUGUAAUUUCAGCCUAAGGUCCCUGCCUGCCCUGGAAUAUGCCAUGGAUUAUCUGUUGCAAGGAAGACAGGGACUUGGUCUGCAGGUGACCGAAGGGCAGCAGAUGAGGUUCUCAUUGGGAAGUCAUUAGCCAAGAUUGUCACACAGGAGAUAGGUCUGCUCAGACCCCACUGCACCUUUCCUAACCUGACCCCAGCCCUGAAAGAACCAUCCAACACAGCGCCAGGUGAGACCAGGUGUUCUCACUAUGGGCUAAGGCAGAAAGCCACCCUGCCUGGCUGAGCCUCUGCCACCUGACUGUGGCACACAGCCUCUGACAGCCUCUGCUCAUUGUUUUCUAUCUCUGUUCUCUCCCCACGAUGCCUCUGUCUUUGGUUUUUGUCUUUCAAUCAGUUUUCAUCUCAGUAAUUCCCAUUCAAUGGUUAGUCUCUGAUCUUUCUAAUUGAGAUCAGAGCUUCAUGUAAUAGGGAGGGGGGAGGGAGACUAUUUUUAAUUUGCUACGUUCCCAUUAAUAACAAGUUCUAAUUAAAAAACCUCCAUCUUCCAUCCUCCCAAGUUCAGAGGAAAACUCUGCAACUUCUGUUGGAAUCUUCUCCUGAUAAAUUGGUACCACAGCCUCCUAGAACAGCUGGUCCUCUUUAGCAGGCAUUGUAAUUAAUGGGAAUAAUAAAUGCAUUCAAAGCAGGUUCGUAACCUUCCUUUCUGUGCACUCAGGCUUCUCUUUGCAUUGCAAGAGACACACAUCAGCAUCUCCGCAAACAGGCCCAGCAGAGCUGCCUAAUUCUAAGAAGCCCAGGUGCCAGUGGUAGUCACUGGGCUGCCACAGCCCUUGCCAUACCCUUUGUGCAGGGCUCCAUUUACACCAGCUGCUGGCUGGGGCUGCCUUGGGGUGCAGAUCAGCUGUGCUAGUGAUGGACAGACUCUUGCUCUCCCUCUUAGCUUUUGUUCAUCGCUACUGAGUUAAUGGAUUUGUCUCAGGAGCGGCCAAACCGGGAGCCAUCAGCACAGAUAUCCCCAAGAUGAGCAAUCUGUCCUGAGCAGUGAUUUCAAUUAAAGGGUCAUUAGCGUGAAAUCUUAUCCCACCCAGCUCCCAUUUGCCAGCAGGAGGUCCUUCUCCCCAUCCCAAGCCUGCUCUGCGGUUAGAGCGCGCUGCUCCUGCUGGAGCCCUCCCGUUUUGCUAAAACACAGCAGCUGCUGCUAAUAAACAAACAUAUUGAUCAUAGAGAUAUGGGCUGUCAGGGACUUAAUUCAUGAAUGAAACGUGCUGGGGAGCGCCCAGUAGGAGAGGGCUGUGCUUGGAGAGCUCGAGACCAAGAUGGUGCCUGGAGGUGGGAGCAGAGGCUGCUUAGCACUGGGGCUGGUGCUAAGAGUUCAAAGGCUGAAUUUGUUCACGGCACAGAAAGGAGCAGAGCAAAUUUCUCCUGUGUCAUUAUAGGCCAUCACUGACAGGGAGGGAGGUGUUUCGGGGGAGGGCUCCAGUUCCUUCCUACUGAAGUAUUCGGGUCAACCCAACCAUUUAGGGCUAAUUUAAGAAGACUAUCAAAUAUUCUCCAGAAGCCAACCGUGAAGUUCUACAAGGAUCUGAGGCUUGGAGAGAAAUAGGAGCUGCCUGCCAGCUGUGAUGCUGGGACGGCAGAGCAUCGGUGCAGAAGAGGGGAGAGAAGCAGAGCUGCAGGUUUCCCAUUUUCCUACCCUCCUGACAGCAGUUUUCCUGAUUUGGGUCAAAAUUUCCCCCCACGUAUAGACAGUAAAACUCUCCUUUUGUGUGACAUGGGGACUGUGUGUAUCGCUGAGAUACUAAUGGCUGCUAUUGUUUCUAUAUUGUUGUCAUUGUCUAGCAUCUUAUCAAAACAAGGUACAAUCAACUCACAGGUGGAUCCCACACAGCCAGGGGCUGUAAUUACAACAGGCGUGUAUUUGAAUAUAGCCUUUACAGGUGCAAUAAAUUACGCUGAAGCAGCUGAGGAUGGAGGUUGAACUGUAACAGGCUGCCAUACUUUUGGUAUUAGCCACGCCAAAAGCUGUCAUUAAAAUAGGCCUCAGUAUUUAUGGUCCUGGGUAGUGGAGGCCUUGCUAAGAUUCUGAUGAAUGAACUUCCAAGGACAGGAAUAGCUGUCAGUCUGAAAUAUUUAUCAGUCUGAACUCUCUCUGCGAUUCAUGCCAUGGUUUGGCUGCCUCCGUUUUUCUUCCCGUCUGGUUGCUUUGAAGCUCAGGUUCCCCGGGCACCAGGUAUUCAGCACGGCUGAGUCCUGUGCUACCUCCUGUCCCUGGGGCCAUGUUUCGGGGCUCACCAAAGGAAUUCCUUCUCCCUGCGCUGCAGGAGAUGGAGGCCAUGUCUGGAUGACUUCAUGCCUCCCCCAGCAUGUGUCCUGAUGCUGCCUUUGCUGUGUGAUUCCCACAUCCUUCUGGCUAAGGAGAGGUCAAAGGAGCCUCGGGGCAUGCAAAUAUAAUUGGCAUUGCAGCCUUGGUAUCCACGCAUGAGGGAAGGUGGGUUUGCUGAAUAGGCUUCAGAAAAGCCUGAGAACCAGGAUUUCUGUGCAAAGGCACAGCCUGAUCUCACCAACUGGGAGUUUCUGUGCUCCUCAGGUCUCCAAGGCACCCAGAGCUUGCAAGUUAAUAAAAGUCUAAACAUUAUCUUCUGAAAGAGGGGAUGAAAACUCCCAGUGAAUCACCUGCAGCAAAUGCCAGCAAAGCACGUUUCCUUGAGGUUUCUUGAAGCUACCUCUGAAAGGUCAGAUUUCUCAGUGAGACAAAAAGCUCUCUUCUCCCUCCUAGCUGUUCCAUCAAUACUUGUUUUUUCUCUCCAUUUAUUUUUACCUUCCUGUUCAGGAAAACAUACAUAAAGAAGAAAAAAAAUGCAGCUUCCCAUGACAGCAGCUAAGUCCAAAGCUCAGUCUUAAACUAAGAGCUCAGUCCAAAGACCCCAAUAGACUUUGAGAGCAAUAGAGGAGGUGAGGAGACCCUAGUGAUGAUCAGGGCAAUGCAAAGUCAGCUGUGAAGCUGGGCGCAGAGGGAACAGCUGAUAUUCUCCAGUCAGAAGCAAAGCACGGGGCUUGUCCGGACAUGUUCCCUUCAGCCAGGGGAUGGGGUUGGAUGGGGCUCUGAGCCCCUGAUGUGCUCAGCUGUGGGUGCCUCUGUUCAUUGCAGGGGAGCUGGACUAGAUGACCUUUAAACAUCCCUUCCAACUCAAACAAUUCUGGGAUUCUGUGACUCAUUUGGACAUGUGCCACGGUUGGUCACCUUCCCAGACCUGAUGGCUUCUUCCAGCAGCCAGCUCGCAGGGUCUGGGUGUGGGCAAGGGGGAAGAAGGCCUCACCUCGUGGUGAGAGAGCAGGAGCUCUGCAGAGAGGACGUGACUCCUCUCUCUCACUCAUGCACUUAAUGACUCUCCACUGAGUUAAUCACGCAAUACAAUUCAGGGGUAAUAUUCCUAACCACCCCGCUGUGCCCUCAGCGAUACCUCCAGCUGCGGCACACCUCCACCUGCUGACACCAUCCCUCCCUUUUCCCCAUCUCCACCUCAUUUCUCUCUCGGUUGUUAUGGCCUUUGUCCAACAAAGCACUUAAACAGGUGUUCCCCUGAGCAAGUAACCCAGCCUUCUCCAUGCGGUGAAUCCAGAAUCCCAUGCAGGAGGCCUCUGCCCUCUGCACACCUGGGUUUUUUUUUUGGUGUAGAAAAGCACUGGGGCCACGGGCAGAGCAGAUGGGAAACCCUUGGCUGAUCUUCUCACUGUGCUCUGCAGUCCUGACAUCUGCUCGUGUGUGACAAUGGGAAUAAAUCACUGAGGAUUUCCUGCCCAGAUUUGGGGAACACAAACACUGCUGAAGUCCUUUGGUUUGCUCAGCCCAGGGAAAGGGAGGCUGCAUGGCAGCCUACGGUCCCCUCAUGGCCUACAGCUUCCUCACAGUGGCCUACAGCUUCCUCAUGGCCUACAUCCCCCCCAUGGCAGCCUACAGCUUCCUCAUGGCCUACAUCCCCACCAUGGCAACCUACAGCUUCCUCAUGGCCUACAUCCCCAC
ensembl:lncRNA